rnacentral:ncRNA from 1 species
AAUGCCGGUAAAGAUGCCGGUUAACUGCAGCAAGACGGAAAGACCCCGUGAAGCUUUACUACAGCUUUGUAUUGGCUUUUGGAUCUUCAUGUGUAGCGUAGGUGGGAGCUUAGGCAACAAUGAAACACCACUCUUGAAUAUUCGAAAGUCUAACCCAGCCCCACUUUUUGGAUUGAAAAUCGAAAAAGUGGGGCUGGGAACAGUGCUUGGUGGGUAGUUUGACUGGGGCGGUCGCCUCCCAAAUCGUAACGGAGGCGUUCAAAGGUUGGCUUAGCUCGUAUGGAAAGCGAGCCUCAAAGUGCAAAGGCAUAAGCCAGCUUGACUGCAAGACUUACAAGUCGCGCAGCUGCGAAAGCAGGACUUAGUGAUCCUCUAGCUCCUCAUGAGUGGGCUAGAGCUCAACGGAUAAAAGCUACUCCGGGGAUAACAGGCUGAUCGGGCCCAAUAGUCCACAUAGACGGCUCGGUUUGGCACCUCGAUGUCGGCUCACCGCAUCCUGGGGGUGAAGCAGCUCCCAAGGGUUUGGCUGUUCGCCAAUUAAAGCGGUACGCGAGCUGGGUUCAGAACGUCGCGAGACAGUUCGGUCCUAAUCUGCUGUAGUCGUAGAAACUUGAGAGGAUGUCUUCUUAGUACGAGAGGACCAGAAGGCGUGAGUCUCUGGUGUACCAGUUGUUCCACCAGGAGCAUCGCUGGGUAGCUACACUCGCUCGGGAUAACCGCUGAAGGCAUAUAAGCGGGAAGCCCACCUCAAGAUUAGGUUUCUUAGGCACCAGAAAGACCAUCUGGUUGAUAGGCUCUAGGUGUAAGCCCCGCAAGGGGUUCAGCCGAGGAGUACUAAUUUGCCAA